rnacentral:pre_miRNA from 1 species
AGCCUCCUGUUUCCGUGCUGAGAUUUCAUCAACGAUCAACCCGUUGGGACUGGCUGAUGCAACUCCAAAAAUAAGUGAAGUG